UUUAGAGAGCAAAAUGACAUGCAUAAAUUGUCCAGUCUUCCAGAAAAAACAAAUUCCUUCAUGGCACCAGCAAUAAUACUUGGCUGAGUAUCGCAUGCUUGCAACUCAAAGUCACAUAUGUCGCCUGGUUCACAUCCUGCCUGAGCAGCUAGAAGCUGCAGAAGAAGGGAAUGAUGUUGCUCACCACCAGGAGUCCUUUUACUGGACUUACAUCUAUCAUUUGGAGCUGCAUUUCCAGUAGCAUCAUCAAUGGAAGCUGGCUUAUUGAGUUCAGCCUUAAUUGAUGUAGCCAAUACUGGUAGAAGAUGGGUCUGUGUGUUCACCUUAAAUCCAUCAUUCACACCUCUGUCUAAAUGAAUUGCUAAAGUUGGAAUUCGCAUUAUAGGCUCCUCAAUUCUCACAAGCUUGUGCAAGUAGGAUUCAGAACUAUCUUUCUUAUUUCUUAUGAUCAUCCUUCCGGCAACUGUUAGAUCACGAUCAAACCAAGUAUGCCACAGCCCUCCACCAUAUGUUUGUACACCCACUUCCAAAAAUCCACUUUUAAUUACCUUCGUAACCGGCUUCAACUUCAGACAAGGACUAUCUGUAUGAGCACCAACUAUGUGAAAUCCAUUUCCAGCAACAUAUUUUUUACCGAUAGCAAAAGCAACAAUAGUAGAGUAGUUCCUAGUGAAGAAAUACUUGUUCCCAGCUUUCAAAUCCCAAUCUAGUUUCUCAUCUAUCUGUACAUACCCUGCACUUUUAAGUCUCUUCUUUGCUUCAUCAACUGCGUGAAAAGCUGUAGGAGAAGC
rnacentral:misc_RNA from 1 species